rnacentral:rRNA from 1 species
GAUGAACGCUGGCGGCGUGCCUAAUACAUGCAAGUCGAGCGAACAGACGAGGAGCUUGCUCCUUUGACGUUAGCGGCGGACGGGUGAGUAACACGUGGGUAACCUACCUAUAAGACUGGGAUAACUUCGGGAAACCGGAGCUAAUACCGGAUAAUAUUUCGAACCGCAUGGUUCGAUAGUGAAAGAUGGCUUUGCUAUCACUUAUAGAUGGACCUGCGCCGUAUUAGCUAGUUGGUAAGGUAACGGCUUACCAAGGCAACGAUACGUAGCCGACCUGAGAGGGUGAUCGGCCACACUGGAACUGAGACACGGUCCAGACUCCUACGGGAGGCAGCAGUAGGGAAUCCUCCGCAAUGGGCGAAAGCCUGACGGAGCAACGCCGCGUGAGUGAUGAAGGUCUUCGGAUCGUAAAACUCUGUUAUUAGGGAAGAACAAACGUGUAAGUAACUGUGCACGUCUUGACGGUACCUAAUCAGAAAGCCACGGCUAACUACGUG